rnacentral:rRNA from 1 species
GAUGAACGCUGGCGGCGUGCCUAAUACAUGCAAGUCGAGCGAAUGGAUUAAGAGCUUGCUCUUAUGAAGUUAGCGGCGGACGGGUGAGUAACACGUGGGUAACCUGCCCAUAAGACUGGGAUAACUCCGGGAAACCGGGGCUAAUACCGGAUAACAUUUUGAACCGCAUGGUUCGAAAUUGAAAGGCGGCUUCGGCUGUCACUUAUGGAUGGACCCGCGUCGCAUUAGCUAGUUGGUGAGGUAACGGCGCACCAAGGCCACGAUGCGUAGCCGAGCUGGGAGGGUGAUCGGCCACACUGGGACUGAGACACGGACCAGACUCCUACGGGAGGCAGCAGUAGGGAAUCUUCCGCAAUGGACGAAAGGCUGACGGAGCAACGCCGCGUGAGUGAUGAAGGCUUUCGGGUCGUAAAACUCUGUUGUUAGGGAAGAACAAGUGCUAGUUGAAUAAGCUGGCACCUUGACGGUACCUAACCAGAAAGCCACGGCUAACUACGUGCCAGCCGCCGCAGUAA